UACGAAGGGGGCUAGCGUUGCUCGGAAUUACUGGGCGUAAAGCGCACGUAGGCGGCUUUCUAAGUCGGGGGUGAAAUCCUGGAGCUCAACUCCAGAACUGCCUUUGAUACUGAGUAUCUUGAGUAUGGGAGAGGUGAGUGGAACUGCGAGUGUAGAGGUGAAAUUCGUAGAUAUUCGCAAGAACACCCGUGGCGAAAGCGGCUACUCUGGAACGGUACUGACGCUGAGACGCGAAAGCGUGGGGAGCGAACAGG
rnacentral:rRNA from 1 species